rnacentral:rRNA from 1 species
CAGCAGCCGCGGUAAUACGGGGGGGGCAAGUGUUAUUCGGAAUGACUGGGCGUAAAGGGCACGUAGGCGGUGAAAAGGGUGGAAAGUGAAAGUCGCCAAAACACUGGCGGGGUGCUUUCUUGACCAUUUCACUUGAGUGAGAUAGGGGAGAGUGGAAUUUCGUGUGGAGGGAUCAAAUCCUAAGAUAUACGAAGGAACGCCAACCGCGAAGGCAGCUCUCUGGGUCCCCACUGACGCUGGGGUGCGAAAGCAUGGGGAGCAAACAGGAUCAGAUACCCCCGUAGUCCCUGUCUCUUAUACA